rnacentral:rRNA from 1 species
GAAACCGUUCAGGGGUAAACCUGAGAAACCCAAAAGAUCGAAUGGGGAGAUUCAUCGUCAGCGAUCUUGGUACGUGUGCGGUUCGCGAUGCUCGCGGGACUUCGGUCUCGCGGGCACGCGUCCGCAUGUUUUUUAUUGCCUCGUUCGUCGGCGUGCACUUCUCCCCUAGUAGGACGUCGCGACCCGUUGGGUGUCGGUCUACGGCCCGGGCGGUAGCCUGUCUCGUGUGUCGCUUCGCGGCGUUCACGCGGUUCAGACCCCCGGUUGCCCGACCGGCUGCUCGGCGGUACUCGCACGGUAUCUGGCCGCAAAUAUUCGAACUGCGUCCGGCCCGUCGCAAGCGCGGCAAGUGUUUCCCGGUUGUUUCACGGAUCCGAUGCCGUCACCGGGCCUUGCCAGCUGUUGGUUGACGGUGUUCUGGGACUGGCUAAAAUACAAAUUAUGAUACCGGUCGGCGACGCUACUGCUUUGGGUACUUUCAGGACCCGUCUUGAAACACGGACCAAGGAGUCUAACAUGUGCGCGAGUCAUUGGGAACUCGUAAAGCCUAAAGGCGCAAUGAAAGUGAAGGUCGGCCUUGCGCCGACCGAGGGAGGAUGGGCCGCGUCACGAUGCGGUCCCGCACUCCCGGGGCGUCUCGUUCUCAUUGCGAGAAGAGGCGCACCCAGAGCGUACACGUUGGGACCCGAAAGAUGGUGAACUAUGCCUGGUCAGGACGAAGUCAGGGGAAACCCUGAUGGAGGUCCGUAGCGAUUCUGACGUGCAAAUCGAUCGUCGGAACUGGGUAUAGGGGCGAAAGACUAAUC